ACGUCAUGUUGACAUGAAUUACAAUGAUCUAUUUGCAUUGUUAUUGUUUAUAUUUGGUAAUAUUAAUUUCAAUAAUUAUAUAAUUUAAGCACAUCUAUUGGAAUAAUUCUCCGAGAGUAAAUUCUUUAGAGAGAAUGGCAGGAGUGCCUAACGAUUGGCAGUUAGGAUAUGUCGAGAUGAAACAGCGAGGUGCUAAUAUUCUCGAGACAGGCCAGUGUUCUGAUUGCACCUUGGUGGGCACUAAUUCAUCCUAGCCAUGGCAUCAUCUGUCUUCGAAACAAUGUUAAUGUUGUGGAAUGGCGGAAAGAAAUGAUCCUAUACCCAUUUUAGAUGUGCAACCAGAUGCUUUUAAAGCCCUUUUAGAAUAAUCAGCACCAACACAUAAGAGGUACUUAAAGAUAGCUGUUUAGAGGAGGUGGACCUGAAUAUCGUUGUUACAGUGUUCUCUUUGGACCAUCUCAAUGUUGACAGUCACUGGCCAAAUUUGAAGCAGCGGUACAGUAUUCAAAGGCAUAUGUAAUUAUUGUCAGUGCUAGAAGAAUUUUCACUAAGAAGUAUAGGCAAAAAACUCAGUAGUAACUAUUUAAUUUAAAAUCUAUUAAUACAUUGUGUUUUUUUUCAUAUGAAUACACAAGAUGAGUAUUUAUAGGUAGUGAAUGUUGAGAGUAGUGCUGAAAACAGUACAGAGGCAGUCCCCGAGCCAUGCAAGUCCAGUGAUACACCUGUGCCCAGUGACUCAUCUGAGACCGCUGAGAAAAGCAAGAUGAAUAAAGAAGGUGUACAAAGUGGGGAUAGUGUUCAACAAGGUGGGCUGGUACCCCACGGGCACGUGUGCACAGCAAGUGGAGACCGAUGGGGUGUUCUUCAACUUCGGCAUCGGACAAAGCAGCGACUCCGUCCGGGACGCCCUCAUACGCUCCAUUAUAUUCACAUACUAACACACGUUUGAACCCUGUUAUGACGACCUCGGCAUUAUAGAGCUUUAGUACACCUUAGGCUGGAUUUCACCAUUCACAGUAUAAACUAAAU